rnacentral:rRNA from 1 species
UGGACAGAUACUGACACUCAGAUGCGAAAGGGGGGGGAGCAAACAGGAUUAGAUACCUUGGUAGUCCACGCCGUAAACGAUGUCUACUUGGAGGUUGCCGCCUUGAGCCGUGUCUUUAGGAGCUAACGCGUUAAGUAGACCGCGNGGGGAGUACGGUCGCAAGAUUAAAACUCAAAUGAAUCGACGGGGGCCCGCACAAGCGGUGGAGCAUGUGGUUUAAUUCGAUGCAACGCGAAGAACCUUACCUACUCUUGACAUCCAGAGAACUUUCCAGAGAUGGAUUGGUGCCUUCGGGAACUCUGAGACAGGUGCUGCAUGGCUGUCGUCAGCUCGUGUUGUGAAAUGUUGGGUUAAGUCCCGCAACGAGCGCAACCCUUAUCCUUGUUUGCCAGCGAGUAAUGUCGGGAACUCCAGGGAGACUGCCGGUGAUAAACCGGAGGAAGGUGGGGACGACGUCAAGUCAUCAUGGCCCUUACGAGUAGGGCUACACACGUGCUACAAUGGCGCAUACAGAGGGCGGCCAACUUGCGAAAGUGAGCGAAUCCCAAAAAGUGCGUCGUAGUCCGGAUUGGAGUCUGCAACUCGACUCCAUGAAGUCGGAAUCGCUAGUAAUCGUGGAUCAGAAUGCCACGGUGAAUACGUUCCCGGGCCUUGUACACACCGCCCGUCACACCAUGGGAGUGGGCUGCAAAAGAAGUAGGUAG